AGCUCCUCCAACCAGAUGGGGAGGGAGAGUAUUUUGCAUUUUGCUCCAGCGGAGAGGGAAGGUCACCGUCCUACAGAGCAGCUUCAAGAGCAGCAUUUCCUCCUGGAUAGGCAGAGAGACACAGCAAAGGUAGUUCCUCUGGCAUCCUUGAAACAAGAAACCAAGAUUUUGAAUAUAUUUUACAGCUGCAAGAGUGGGAUCUGUAAGGAAAAGCAAAUCAAAGGACUCUUGAUAAUAUCAGGAGAGUUGCAAUACAGAUCGUGAAUCAGACAUGUGGCAGUUAUCUAAGCUUCUUCAUGCUAUCAGGCUUGUGUCCAUAAAGUAACAAAGUCAUCAUCUUGUCUGCUUGAAGAAGCUACUUAUGGCUUCCAAGAGCUGCUGUUGCAGACUGUCGGAUCAGGUGCAGCUGAUUGUGUUUCCAGACUGUUAGAGAGAGAAACGCUGGUCCCAACUCCGAUCGCAUUCGCUCUCUCCCAGUGGAGCUCCUUGGGGGAGAAGAAAGUGCCGUGGUCAGUGUUGUCAUGUGCAUGAUGAGAAUCAGGUUCAGGCCCCGAGUCUCAGUCAUUGUCUGUUCAAGAGCACCCAUCCUGCUUUCAUGCUAGAUAUGCUGCAGUAAUGGACAGAGGUUACCCUGGUCAUCCCCAAGCUUUUGGGGAGAAAGUGAAAGGUGAAUGCAGGCAUGACCUUGAUAGCAAGGCAGGGACUGAAACCCAGGGCUCCUGACUCCCCAGUCUCUGCCACAGCACCCUGCAUUUUUUGCAAAGCUGAGCCCUUUGUUCUCAAAAGCUGAUGCUGCAGUUCACUUCACCUUCUCUUGCUUAUGUUAUUAAGCUUAAAACUUCCACUAUUUGUGAUUCAGGCUAUGGUAAUUUAUAAUCACAAAAACAGCUGAAUUCAUCCUUCUGCUGUAUGUCUUGUCAUUAAAAGCACUCUAACUUUUAGCUAAUUGGCAGGGGUUACAUGCGGGCUUCGGAAAAGGGUAAAUCAUUACAGCUUCAUGCCUCGGCAGUCAAUUAUAGAUUGUUUUUCUAGCGUGGCCGUGUCGGCAGCCUGCAGCGCUGCAGCGAACACAAAAGGGGUAAGCAGUCUUUAACCAAAACGCCCUGACGUCACUCAUCAGCUUAAACCAGGACCCUGGAUCUCGAUGUGGAGCUUCAGCUCUGGGAGAGGCCAGACGUAGAUACAAGUCUGACUCUGAAAUGGAUAAUGUGAGCCUGGGUCUAAAGGGGUUAUGGUGCAGCAGGUCUGCUUUGCUCCAGUCUGCGGACACAAAGAAAAAUCCUCAGGUAGCAUGAAGCUUUCUUCUACCCCCUUCUCCCAGUGCACAGGAGGCCAGACUAGACAUCCUGCCUGACACCCCAGCAAGCCUCAGUUUCCAGGACAGCCCUGAGGGCUGUUAGCCAUCAGUAAGUUAGAGGGAUGCGUUAAUAGUUUAGGAUAGGCUGGGACACAGCCACGUGCAAUUUAUGCUACAGCUCAGCCAACUAUAAGCCACGGACAUUGGUAUUGUGGAACAGACACGUGUGGAUGCCUACACCAGCAUUUCCAAAGGUGCUCGUUAUUGCCUGUGUAACGAGGCCUGCCCCAGGGGUGGCCGUGACGCCCCCUGGCAGCCACUCAGCCUGUAUGUCCCCUGAUUCCUUAGAGCCUGCUCCCCUUCUACUCACUUGCCACUCUGGGCUGUAAAAAUACGUACUUAGAAAAGGGAGGCUGCCCCCAGGGAUCCCUGAGCAAGAUCUCAUCCGCUCAUGAGCUAUGAUCUAAUUGCUCAUCGCCUUAAGGGCUAGUUUUGUGGCCCUUCUAGCCAAGCCCAAGCCUCACAGAUGUUACCAAUCAACCAAUUCAUGCCCUACUCCUGGGCUCAGUCAAUUCAAUGGGCUCUCGGCCUCCAGUCUGCUAUCGCUCUGUAGCCCUGUCUCAAGUCCUGCUGCUGCCCUGCCCCUGGGCUCUGACCUUACCUUCAGGCCUCUCACACUUUCUCUGUCUUGUUUCUCGGCUCUGGCCCUGCUGGGACUUUUGUUCCCCUUAGUCCCUACCUAAACCACCAGUGUUCUCCGGGCAAAUCCACUUGCCUGGCCUGCGCCUGGGCUCAAGUGUAUCCCCGGUAUGAGUCAAGAGCUCCUCUGCAACUCCCUUUCUCAGGAGCUCUUCCUCCUAUGGCCUCCAGGGCUGCACUGCCUGCCUCAGCUCAGGCCCUGGGCUUAUAUACUCUCUAAGUCUAGCCCUCUUCCAGCCAGGUGCCUCUUCCCUUGAGUGCCACCUGAGCCCUGUCUGCAGCCUUUCUCCUCUGGAAGUAACAGGAGCACUAAGCUCCCCACUACACCACUUAAUUGAUCAUUCAUCUGCAACAGAACCAGGAUUUCUGGUCUAGACAGCACCAAUGUCAAUGCAGAAUACACAGCAACAGAAUAACUCACGCUCGAUGGGACAGUGGUGCUCUUAGCCAGACGUACGGGGUGUCUUCACAGCUGCAAAAGUGAAACCAAAGCUGGACUUCUUGUUCUGUGCCCUGUGUGCGUAGAUGUGGGGUUCACAUGAAGUAGGAAUUUGCCUUCUUCGCGGUACACAAAGCAGGCAUCUACGGAGCACAUCCAGGGAUGGCACUGCGUACCAUUCAAGUGCUGUGUUUGUGAACCCGCCACCUGUUACCGCAGCGCGGAUUGUGCAAGCAUCAUGGAACAGAGCAAAAGUGAGUCGAGCUGAGCUCUGCUAGGGACAGAGGGAUUGAAGCUUUGGCUGCACAGGGAACACGGACUCUUUGAAGCCACAGGCUACACAUAUUCCAACUGCAUUGCAUUAUGGUGCAGGAUAGAAAUGGGGCUAUCCUCACACAAGCUGAGGCCCCCCAUGGGUCUGUGCUAAGGCCUGUACUGUUUAACACAGUCAUAAACAAUUUGGGAAGAGGGGUGAGUGGUGAAAUGCUCAAGCUUGUGGGCGACAUGAAACUAUUAGUGCAGUGAAAACUAAAGUUGACUGUGAAGAGGUGAGGAGGGGUCUCAUGGUGAGCAAAUGGAGAACAAAAUGGCAGAAGAAGUCCAGUGUUGAUAAGUGCAAUGGGAUGCACAUAGGAAAAAAUAACCUGAGAUACCUGUGCACAAUGCUGUGCUCUACCAUAUCUGUUACUACUCAAAAAGGAAAGAGGUUGAUAAUUUAACCAGGUUCAGAUGGGAGAUUGGACAAAUCUAUGCAGGAUAGGUCUAUCAUUGAGGAUGAACCAGUACAGGUAUGGAUACAACCUCCAUCUUAGGGAUUCCCCAGGCUCUGAAUGUGGGAAAAUAUAGAGGAGACGGGUGGGAGGCAGAUGAGUCUGGAUCGGUCCUGGACAAACACCCUUUCCCUUAGCCUUCCCUCUCUGCCACUGUGGGAAGCAGGCUACCGAGCUAGAUGGACCUGUCCUAGAAAGACACGUCUUAUGUUCUCGAACUUAGAAUACCCUGCGGUUUGCCCCAGAGAGAACAGCAGCAACGGAGAAAGGGGGGGAAGCAGGUCAGUACAGCACUCUUUCUUCUGCACCAGAGCUGUGUCAAUGGUACCACGUGGAACAGGAGCAAAUUGGAUGCAUCGUGUGGGAACAAGAUCUUGGACACAGCACCAUGCAGUGGGUUAUUGUUCUAUGGAGGGUCACUGUCAUGAGUUAGCAUUUCCAUCACUUCUCCAUAACAAGCGAAGAAAGGAAUGAUUUCUUUCCAUUUCAGGGUCUUGGAGCAUAAUCAGGCCUCAGCCACAGUCCAUGUUGUCCUGCUCUCCCAACGCAGCUACCAUUUCUCAGUUCAGUUCAGGAAGGUCCCUGAGACAGCACAGCUUACAAUAACUUUUCACCAGGCUAGUUAUGGAGAUGGAAAGCCCUCACUGGCUGGAAAGCAACUGCAGUCCUGGGAUCUUCUGCUUUAAUGAAUCUUGAGCCCUCUUGUAGGUGACUAUAGAAGAAAAAUAAGACCUUGGCUGAGGGCUCAUGCUUGCAACCAUUUUCCAGCCUCAGAGGAUCUUAGAUCUUCCUCCCAAGCUCAGGAUGGAUCCACAGCACAGUGUUUGAAACAGUUUAUAAGUAACUCCAUGCUCC